GUAGUUCAGUCGGUAGAACGGCGGACUGUUAAUCCGUAAAGCAGGCUUUUUGCUUUGCGGAUGAGGGAAAAUGAACGCUCUGUUUGUCUACGGCACGCUGCGCCCGGGCCA
rnacentral:tRNA from 1 species